GCAGAGCACUCCUACGGGAGGCAGCAGUGGGGAAUCUUGCGCAAUGGGCGAAAGCCUGACGCAGCCAUGCCGCGUGAAUGAUGAAGGUCUUAGGAUUGUAAAAUUCUUUCACCGGGGACGAUAAUGACGGUACCCGGAGAAGAAGCCCCGGCUAACUUCGUGCCAGCAGCCGCGGUAAUACGAAGGGGGCUAGCGUUGCUCGGAAUUACUGGGCGUAAAGGGCGCGUAGGCGGACAGUUUAGUCAGAGGUGAAAGCCCAGGGCUCAACCUUGGAAUUGCCUUUGAUACUGGCUGUCUUGAGUACGGGAGAGGUGAGUGGAACUCCGAGUGUAGAGGUGAAAUUCGUAGAUAUUCGGAAGAACACCAGUGGCGAAGGCGACUCACUGGCCCGUUACUGACGCUGAGGCGCGAAAGCGUGGGGAGCAAACAGGAUUAGAUACCCUGGUAG
rnacentral:rRNA from 1 species